UACGGGGGGGCAAGCGUUGUUCGGAAUUACUGGGCGUAAAGGGCGCGUAGGCGGCCUGCUAAGUCGGACGUGAAAUCCCCCGGCUCAACCGGGGAACUGCGUCCGAUACUGGUGGGCUCGAAUCCGGGAGAGGGAUGUGGAAUUCCAGGUGUAGCGGUGAAAUGCGUAGAUAUCUGGAGGAACACCGGUGGCGAAGGCGGCAUCCUGGACCGGCAUUGACGCUGAGGCGCGAAAGCCAGGGGAGCAAACGGG
rnacentral:rRNA from 1 species